rnacentral:rRNA from 1 species
AAUAUUGGACAAUUGGUGAAAGCCUGAUCCAGCCACCCCGCGUGAAGGAUGACGGCCCNCUGGCUNGNAAACUUCUUUUCUACCGNCCUAAACCUACUCUCGUGAGAGGAGCUGAAGGUACUGUACGAAAAAGCACCCGCUAACUUCGAGCCAGCAGCCGCGGUAAUACGGUGGGUGCAAGCGUUAUCCGGAUUUAUUGGGUUUAAAGAGUACGUGAGCGGACCCGUAAGUCGGUGAUGAGAUCUCAUAGCUUAACUAUGAAACUGCCAUUAAUACUGCGGAUCUUGAGUAAAUUUGAAGUGACUGGUAUAAGUAGUGUAGCGGUGAAAUGCAUAGAUAUUUCUUAGAGCACCAAUUGCGAAGGCAGGUCACUAAGGUUUGACUGACGCUGAUGGACGAGAGCGUGGGUAGCGAACA